rnacentral:rRNA from 1 species
GACGAACGCUGGCGGCGUGCUUAACACAUGCAAGUCGAGCGGUAAGGCCCUUUCGGGGGUACACGAGCGGCGAACGGGUGAGUAACACGUGGGUGACCUGCCCUCAGCUCUGGGAUAAGCCUGGGAAACCGGGUCUAAUACCGGAUAUGACUCCAUGACGCAUGUUGUGGGGUGGAAAGCCUUGUGCGGCUGAGGAUGGGCCCGCGGCCUAUCAGCUUGGUUGGUGGGGUGAUCGGCCUACCGAAGGCGACGACGGGUAGCCGGCCUGAGAGGGCGACCGGCCACACUGGGACUGAGACACGGCCC